rnacentral:rRNA from 1 species
GGAAUAUUGGGCAAUGGGCGCAAGCCUGACCCAGCAACGCCGCGUGAGGGAAGACGCUUUAAGGAGUGUAAACCUCUGUUAGUAGGGACGAAUGACUUUUAUGCUUUUG